rnacentral:rRNA from 1 species
AGAAUCAACGCUGGCGGCGUGCCUAACACAUGCAAGUCGAACGAGAAAGUGGAGCAAUCCAUUAGUAAAGUGGCGCACGGGUGAGUAACACGUGACUAACCUACCCUUGAGUGGGGGAUAACCUAGAGAAAUCUGGGCUAAUACCGCAUAAUACCUUCGGGUCAAAGGAGCAAUUCGCUUAAGGAGGGGGUCGCGGCCGAUUAGUUAGUUGGCGGGGUAAUGGCCCACCAAGACUAUGAUCGUA